AGAUGAAUGUAUCUGUGAGAGCGCGAUUGUGCGAGUGUGUUGGUGUGCGAGUGUCUUGUCCUAUUUUUACCGAGAGCCUUGCAGGGGUUGCAACAAUAACUUAUCUAGCCUUUUUACCCAACUUCAGCCCCGGAUCCAUAAUCACCGGGAGACGCUCCCGGGGUGCGCUUUGUGCUGCGCUGCUCCGGGGCUAUCUUUAAGCAGUUUCCCAUUGUCUGGCGUCGUUUUGUGGUGCCUGGUCCGCCGAGCACAAUGGAGCGACUGCUUCGAUGGUGGCAAGGUCGAGGGAUGCGGCUGCCUCCUCUUCCCCGUAUCUGUCAGAAUUGCGCACUUCAUUUCAGGCAGCGUGAAAUGAAAUUACUCCACGGUCCAUUCCUGGUGACGACUUCAUCUUCUGACGGACGGGGUCUCGGAGCGAUUCGUGCGAAAUUAUCAAUGCCCCUGGAAAUUAGAAACACUUUGAAUUAAAUUCGAAUAAAACGUUUUCCAGGCCAUCCAUUGUACGCUUCCUUGGACGCUAGGACGAAGUCUGAAUUUGAUAUUUAUGUUCUUGCGCGAC